rnacentral:rRNA from 1 species
AUUGAACGCUGGCGGCAUGCCUUACACAUGCAAGUCGAACGGCAGCACGGGUCCUUGCACCUGGUGGCGAGUGGCGAACGGGUGAGUAAUACAUCGGAACCUUUCCUGUAGUUGUGGAUAGCCCUCCGAAAGCCGGAUUAAUACCCCAUACGAUCUACGGACGAAAGCGUGGGACCUUCGGGCCUCCCGCUAUUGGGUUGGCCCUUGGCUGAUUUGAUCGUUGGUGGGGUAAAGGCCUACCACGGCGACGAUCAGUAGCUGGUCUGAGAGUACGACCAGCCACACGGGGAGGGAGACACGGACAAGACGACUACGGGAGGCAGCAGUGGGGAAUGUUGGACAAAGGGCGAAAGCAUGAUCCAGCAAGGCCGAGUGUGUGAAGAAGGCCUUCGGGGUGGAAAGAACGUUUGUGCGGAAAGAAAUCCUUGGGCCUAAGACGGACGGGGGAUGACGGUACCGGAAGAAGAAGCACCGGCUAACUACGUG